CGCAGCCAUAAACUUUGAUAGAAAACUACAAAUUCUAUCCGCCCGGGAACUACGAGCAUAAGCUUAAAACCCAAAGGACUUGGCGGUGCUUUAGACCCCCCUAGAGGAGCCUGUUCUAGAACCGAUAACCCCCGUUAGACCUCACCUUUUCUUGUCUAUCCCGCCUAUAUACCGCCGUCGUCAGCUUACCCUGUGAAGGAUUAAUAGUAAGCAAAACUGGUAAAACCCAAAACGCCAGGUCGAGGUGUAGCAUACGAAAAGGAAAGAAAUGGGCUACAUUUCCUUCCCCCAGGAAACACGAAUUGUGCUAUGAAAUAACACAUGAAGGUGGAUUUAGCAGUAAGCAGAAAACAGAGAGUUCCGCUGAAACCGGCCCUGAAGCGCGCAC
rnacentral:rRNA from 1 species